rnacentral:rRNA from 1 species
GCUUAGAGCCAUACUUUUCCGAGUACACCUGAUCUCAGGAGAAAAGAAAGGUUGGGCCUAGUUAGGAUUUCGAUGGGAGACUCCCUGAGAAUACCAGGUGCUGUUGGUU